UCUCUUCCUUGGCAUAAAUCAGGAAAGGAAAAAUUCAACCUUUUGCUAAUUUGUGUAGAACUUUGAUGAUAAUUUGCCUGGAGACAUUUAAGUAGUGCAACAUGAAAUAACAGAAACUAAAAUUAAUGGAGCUGGAAUGGGAUUGCAUUGUGCGGGGCCCCCACAUAUGGUUACAAUUCGGCGUUUCCUCUGUAUCUGACAGGAUCCUCACAGAAAGAAUGCUUCUGAGGAACUGCUACUGCACCCACCAUGAAGGCACGGAGAAGAAAUUGUCUGUUCACCAUUCUUUCUCCUCCCAUGAUCAUACAAGCAUGCAGGAUGAGGAUGUUUAUAAGAAGCCCUGUUUUGUAAACCAGGGACUUGCAGACCCUUGUGUUGUGCUGCAGCUGCUAUUUACAGUGGAUACUUAAGGAAGUAUUUCAUUAAGAGACCAAGAGGAGCCAGAGACAGGAAGACGUAGUUCAAGGCACUGUUCGCAGCUUGCCCAGAGGAUUGGGGCAACACACUGUGUCCCUUACCUGCCUCGGUUCUAUCCCUCUACUGUUCCUGACACAGUGAAGAAGUGCCUAGCACAGAGGAACAUCCAUCUAAGAGCUGCCAUCACGCAGAUGACAUCAGGAAUAACGCUAACAGAUGGCAGGUCUGAAGAGGAGCCGCUGCCACCGAUGCAGGCUGGCAGGCAAACAUUCCUGCUCUGGCAGCUGGAACAACGGUAGCACAAAUGAAACAUGAACAAUUUCCUCCCUGCCAGCAAAGAAAAUAGCUCCAGGGAGAACCCAGGGAGAAUAAUUGUCAGCCUCCUCUAGGUAUCAUGGGAACACAGGCCAUUCAGUAAUCCCCUAGUAAACAACUGCUUCUUAUUUUUAAUACAGAAUAAAACCCCAAGAAUCUAAGAGCGGGUGCUGCACAGUUGCUGAAUUAGCUGCACCAGUGCACCUCUCCUUCCGACCUUUCACUAAAAUCACUGAAGUGAAGCAUGCAGGAGUUCUACUGUAACCAAAAUGGGCUCAUAACUGAGGGUGAAUCUCCUCUCACAGAACGAUGCAGAUAGGACAAAUACUUAACAUUCUUCUUGCUCCUGUCUUUGAAGAAGAUGCUGAUCAUUAGACCAGUGAAAUUCCUCCUUCUCUUGGGACUCAGCCAGGUCUUUCUGUCUUCAGAUGCCUUUUUUCUUUUUUUUAAAUUUUCCUUUAGUCAUGGUUAAAAUAUGCUGCAGCCUUAUAGCAUGUACUGCAAGCUGGCUGGUGUGCCCCCAGAAACUUUCAGAAGCAGCAAGCAUGGACAAGGUUGAUGCUGGGCAUUCACAAUGAACAUGGGUUACCUUCACUGAUAUUCAAAGAGCUACAACAAUGCAGAAAUCCUGUGAGCCUCAAUAAAUACUUGCCUGUAAUUCAUAACAAUAAACUCAUAGCUGGUGCUAUUUGGUUCAAUGGGACUACUCCUCACAGAGGGAACUGUGUCAGACUACCAGAAUAUCUGCACUCAGGCUUUCCAGCAGCAGCUAGUUAUGGACACAAAGGGAAUAAUAAAAGAAUAUGGUAAAUACACAUCCCUGAUGUAUUUUCCCAGUUUCCAGUAACUUCCUGUGCCACUGGCACAGUACCUGACUUUUUGGCUCCUAUUAUAGGGAAUGUUCUUUUACCUCCUGUGAAAUUCAGCACACACAUCUGUCAUGAUCCCAGCAGGUACCAGGAUUCCCUCCAAGCGGGGGUCUCAACUAUGAUAAUUUUAUGCUGUGGGCUCUACUUCACUUAUAUUUGCAGAUUAGCCUCUUCAAGAGGUUUCUCUGUAAUAAAGGGCUUCUGUAAGGAUGAUGCAGUGUAUAUAUGACUACCAGCUUUUCCUGUCUGCAGGAACCCACUGAGCAACAUGCCUCUGGCGCUGGUAUAAGAAAACUGAUGAAUACAAAACUGCCAUGAACACACACUGUAAUGAGCACAGCUGCCAUUUAAAAAAAUAAAAAGGCAAGAUAUUUCUAUAUCCAGGGCUUGGAGAGCAAUCACUCUUCAUACCCUGCAGCCUGGCACAGGCACAGACCAAGAAAAGAUAACAAGAGGCCUGCUCAGUCCUUAUCACAAUUUUUCCUUUGCUUUUUUUUCCUUGGUCCUCACUCCCCCUUGCCUUUGCUAGUAAAACCCUGCUCUCAUUUACUCAGACAUGGAUGCAGCAGAAAUAACAUGGGUAGGAAGCAUGUUUCCUCUGCUAGAUUACUGGCACCCGGGAGCCCCACUCCAAAAUUAAUUCUCCAGCCAGUAUCUCUCAUCCAGCCUCAGGGGUGGAAAAAGCCACGGAGAUAGAUAUGAAUCACAGGUGAUGCCUCUAAACCUCUUUUUAUCCUUCCUUCAAUCUGAUUCAAGGGGGAGGAAAAAAACCCAGCAUAUUCCUGUAAUGACAAACAAUAACUAGAAAGCCUCUGGCAUUUCUUAGAGAAAGGCCUGAGUAUAUUUUGCCAGGAUGGUUGGUUGAACACUGCUGCAGCUCCAUAACCCUUCAUUUCUGUACACAAAGCCUCAAAACCAUUCAGGUCUCAGGAGAGAGCAGAGAGGUAGAGAAUGGGGGGGGUCUGGCUUAUGAUGUGAGCAGCAGCCAGGCUGCCCAGGACUUUGGCACAUCUCCUCCCAGUGAUGGGGAGGAUUUGGUUUCCAUAGCAGCAACGGCAUGAUUUCCUCCACUCUUCCUCUCCAGGACUUGUAUUCCAUAAAUGCACGGGAGUUAUAUUUCACCCCAAGGCUUUUAUUUUCCUUCUGCACAGUUUUGUCGUGCUCCAGCAGGUCUGCCUUUUUCCGCCUUUUUCCGACACUGGGUUGGGGAGUGAGGGGGGGCCAUGGGGAUGCCGUGCAAGCAUCACUCUCACCUCCUUCUCCCUCUUAACACUGCUUCACAAAAGACGCAGUGUUCCCUGUCCCCAACUGACUCAUCUUCGCUGAGGUCCCCCUUUUCCUUGCCUGUCUCCAGUGAUCAGCUCACGCAUGCCUGGCUUUCCAUAACAGAGCAGAGCUGUGUGCAAGUGCCAGGCGCCCGCACAAAGCUGGAGUGCUGCCUGCAGAGGAAAUGUCAAUACAGGAACACCAGGAUAUUUACAAACCCCCUCUUUAUCCUGUGACAGAGAUGCAUGUAGCUAUAAAACAGUUGUACCUGCAUAUACUCCCCUUUUGAUUUUACCCACACGAAGUGUACAAGACUCUUGCUUCUUGCGAUGAAGAGGACUUUUUUUGUCAGUACUAAAGAGAGGAAAACACGAUCAGAAAUAGGAUGGCAUAACUGCAAACCACACCAGCUAUUCUGGGGACUCGUAGGAGGAUCUGAAAAGCAAAGCCAAUUCAUUUUUUGCAGUUGAUCUGUCUUCAAAACAAGUGCUCCUUUAGUUGUACACGUUUGGCAUUUGUCUGCUUCAGAACCAAGGAACUGAGCUGUGUUCUUUUUAAUACCAUAAAAUGUCUUCUUCUUUAGCGUGGAGUCAAUACAGAGAAGAGGCCAAAUUAUCACUGAUUUUAGCAGGUUUCCCAAGAUGUGGGUACAUGGUAUGUUGUGCAUUCGUGCCGAUGUUUCCUGUGCUCUGGGACAUCCC
rnacentral:lncRNA from 13 species